rnacentral:misc_RNA from 1 species
CUGCAUCUCGCGAGACCUCGCCCCGAGCCCCCGACGCCGCCGCGGCGCCACCCGCUGUCCCUCGCCGUCGCCGACCCUGCGCUGCGGCUUAUCUCCGGCGAGGAGGACGACCGCGCGACCACCGACGAGGAGGACGGGCGCGCAGCCACCAGGGACGGGCGCGUAGCCACCGAGGACGCAAGCACGACUUCUCAUCGGAAGGAGGAGAAGAGCACGCGCGUCUGCUGCCGGCUGGACGGACGACCGCGCGACCACCGAUGA